CGCCAAAAAUGCGUGUUUAUGCCAAAAAAAUAGAUUGGCAUGGGCUCGCUGUCUGUGCCAGCACAGUCUGGCACAGGAACGGGGAUGGAUGGAGCCCCUGUGUCCUGGGUUGGGACUGGAGGGACCCCUGUGCCCAGGGAUGGACAGACCCCCUGUGUCCAUGGAAAGGAUGGACAGACUCCCUGUCCAUGGACAGGAUGGACAGACCCCCUUGUCCAUGGACAGGGAUGGACAGACCCCCUGUGUCCAUGGAUGGACAGACUCCCUGUGUCCAGGGAUGGACAGACCCCCUGUGUCCAUGGAAAGGAUGGACAGACUCCCUGUCCAAGGAAAGGAUGGACAGACUCCCUGUCCAUGGACAGGACGGACAGACUCCCUGUGCCCAAGGAUGGACAGACUCCCUGUCCAUGCACAGGACGGACAGACUCCCUGUCCAUGGAAAGGAUGGACAGACUCCCUGUCCAUGCACAGGACGGACAGACUCCCUGUCCAUGGAAAGGAUGGACAGACUCCCUGUCCAUGGACAGGACGGACAGACUCCUGUGUCUUUCCAAGCAGGAAUUACAAAGCCCUGCAG
rnacentral:lncRNA from 1 species